CACGUCAGCGCGCUUUGCUGACAUGGACACAAAUCGCGCUUUCAAGGCCGCGCUUUGUUCCCAUGUCAGCAAAUCGCGCUGACGUGG
rfam:Gossypium hirsutum cultivar TM-1 chromosome 17, whole genome shotgun sequence